rnacentral:misc_RNA from 1 species
CUAGUAGCGCGAGCUGCACAGACGCUUGAUUCUCCCAGUGGACUACUAACCGCCAAGAAGCAUACAGGGUUGACACACGCUAGACAUUGCUCCUCCUCUUCAUUCGUUCCCGCCGUGCGCACAACCCGCGUGCCUACUCCAGCCCUCCCCCCCUCCCCUCCCCUCACCAGCGCUUUGCUGAGCGGCCUCUCAACACCCCCGCCUCGCCAUCCUCUCCUCUCGGGUCCUUCUCUCAUUGCUGUCUCUUGCGUUUUUCACCCAGGGCUCCCUCCCCCCUCCCCUCUUCCGCUCCCCGUCGUACCAGACGCGUGUGUCUGCGCCUGCGCUCUCUCGCUUUGCUUGUCGUCUCCCUUCAUCGGCAUGUCACGCACGCAGACAAGCAGCAAGUCGGCGCCGAAGACCAUCGCGGUUUACUGCCGCGUGCGGCCGCCUGUGCCGAAUGAGAAAGGGCACACCUUCCAAAACAUCAGCUACGAUGACAGAGACGCCCGCGCCAUCACCGUGAACCGCAAGUCCGGCGCGAAAUCAUUCGAAAAGAAGUACCUAUUCAACCGCGUCUUCAGGCCAAAUGUGACGCAGAAGGAUGUGUACGAGAACUUUGCCAGGAAUGCCGUCGACGCUGCCUUCGAUGGCCAGCACGGCGUCCUCUUCGUGUACGGCCAGACCGGCUCUGGCAAGACAUUUACGAUAAGCAACGAUGAUCCGAAUAACGAGGGUGUGCUGCAGCAGUCCAUGAGGGAGAUUUGGAACAAGAUCGCCAGCGACACGGCCAAUGACUAUUCGUGCAGCGUCAGCUACGUGCAGCUCUACAACGAAAUCCUCACCGACUUGCUGGAUGAUAAGAAGAGUAAGGUCCGCAUCCAGAUGGGCUCGGAGGGCCGUGGCGACGUCGUGAUGGUGUCCGACAGCACCGGACUGGCAGUUGAGCGGGAGGUAAAGGACUACAAGAGCACCAUGGCCUACUUCAAAGCGGGCCUAGCGCGGAAGGAGAUGGCGAGCACGUCCAUGAACAACACAAGCUCGCGCUCCCACACUAUCUUCACACUUAACAUCGUCAAGGCGAAGAAGGUCGGCGCCGUGACCGUCGGCGCUGAAACGGAGGGUCCGACGGUUGCACUGGAGGGCCGCCUGGUGCUGUGCGAUCUUGCCGGUAGCGAGCGUGUGAGCAAGACACAUGCGGAGGGCAAGACGCUCGACGAAGCCACGCACAUUAACCGCAGUCUCCUAACCCUUGGUAAGGUGGUGACUGCGCUAACCGAUAACGCCCAGCACGCACCCUUCCGUGAGUCGAAGCUGACCCGCAUUCUCCAGUACUCGCUGAUGGGUAACGGCAACACCUCCAUCAUCGUCAACAUCAGCCCCUCCGAUGAAAACACGGAGGAGAGCUUGAGCGCCAUCUUGUUUGGACAGCGCGCCAGCCAAAUCAAGCAGGAUGCGAAGAGACACGAGGUGCUGGAUUACAAGGCGCUGUACCUGCAGCUCAUGGCAGACCUGGACAACAAAAACGACAAGACGCUGGAGGAAGCACUGGAAGAGGAGCGUGGCGUCUACGAGGAACGCAUUUCCGCCCUCGACGAGGAGAUGAAGUUGCUCAGCGAUGAGAACGCGAUGCUGCGCAACGAGAACAAGCAGCUGCGCCAGUACGUGCCGGCUGAUCGACUGAAGCUGAUUGAUGAGACACCAUCCAGUGGAGUGCCUGGUGCCAAUGGUGAAGUUGCCAGCGGAGGUUGGGCCAAGGCCAACCAGGAUUUGCGGGAGUUAGUGAAGCAACGCGAUGAAAAGCUGAAAGUCAUCAGUGAUGAGCGGGUGCGCCUCGCGCUUGUGGUGGCCGAGGAGAAGCGCAAGUGCUUCCAGCUCGCACAGAAGAUGCGCUCAUUCGCCAUGCGCUACAAGAUGGAGCGCGAGCAGUCGACGCAGCGCCAGGAGGAGCUGUGCGCCGAGCUGGCGGCCCUUAAGGGCACCGAUUACCUCAGCGCCGUCGGCAACUUCGACGCCACGGCGAGCCCAGGCAGCCCAGGCAGCCCGCACUAUCCUCGUGAAGGCGAAGAAUUCAACGACGCUGAAAGCGCUCAGGCGCAGAUCCGCGCGUUGCGGGCGGAGCGUACGGAGCUCAUGGUGUACCAGGCAAAGGCGGCCAAUGCGAUUCGCAUGCUCGUGAAGGAACGUGACGCUGCGCAGCGCAAGGUAGCGUAAUUGUGCGGGCACUGGUACAUGCCGGCCUACCGCUGCGUACCAGCGGCAAAGUGCGAAUGCCAUCAUUAUGUGCGAUAGACUGGGCAGUAGGGAGGGGAGGGGUUAGCCCAGCAUAGAGGAAGAGUGAGAGGGCGGCGCGUGGAAAAGUCGAACAAGGGGGGGGGGAGGCGGUUAAGGGGGGCUGUUUCGGUCGCCGUGGCCUUUCUUCCUCCCUCUUCACGCAGGCCCCUCACGUCGUCUCCUCCGUCGCCAUUGUCGGUAUCUGUCUCUCGCUUCUUCAUCUUUCGCUGCCGUUGCCGCUCUUGUGUCCCGCUGUUCUGCUCGAGAGUGCUCACGUGUCGGCUGGGCUGCCCUCUUUGUUGUCCGAGUAGCUGCCGCGUUUUGCUAUGCCACCUCGCUCAACCGCUCCACCCGCCCAUUCGCUAACGAGCCGAUGCGCACGCGCGCGGGCUCUCUUGUCUGCGUUGUGGCGGCGCUGCCGUGUUUAAGCGCCGCCCUAUAUCAGAAGGCGCCCGUAGUAGUGAGUACGAGAGUAAUAUAUCUGCGUGCGUGUGCCUUUUAUUGUUGCCUCAACCAAGAACAUCUGCGAGUCAUGUCGUGGUGAUGGUGGUGAAGGCGGACCUCGCGUGCGGUGUCCCUCUUCGACGGGGCCGUCCCCCGCACACAGCCACGCCCUCGUCUCCCUCCAUAACACACUUUUGUUGUUUUGCUCUCCCUCCCUGCGCCUUUCUUCCCUUCCCCCGGCUGUCCUCACUACAUCCUCGAGCACGAGUGGCUGCGUGCGCAUGCGUGUGUGUGUACGUGUCUGCCGUCAUCGACUUCGCUUGUGGGCAUGUCUCUCUCUCUCUCUGCGUCUGUGCGUGUGACGUGGCCCGACGAUGACACACACAUACACACAUGCAUGCGUGGCGCCCGCUCGCGUUAUGUGCUGCCUGCUGUCUUGUGCCCUUUUUUUUUCAUUGCCGCUUUCGUUGACGCUUCUAUUUUCGAUUGCUCGAUCUGUGCCUCUAUGCUUUUCUUUUAACGAUGGCGUCUCUCUCUCUCUCUUUCGCUCCCCCUGUCCGUGCGUGCUUGCUGAAGUUCCGUAAAUAUUUGUGUGUGCUGCGUGCAUGCCCAUCCGCUGGGCUUUGCUCUCGUGCCCACCAAGGACGUUGCGUGCACACACACACACACACACCACCACCACCACCACCACCGCUCCCUCUCCUUUCCUUCUCCUGCUUUUUGCUGUUGUUGCUUGCCUGUUUGAGCGUGGGUGUGCGCGCGACUUGUUGGGAGAGACACCGCCACACGCCUUCUUCAUUUCUGUGUAUAUAUAUAUAUAUGCAACUCCCCUUUUCUUCUUUGGUGGUGGUGGUGGUGGUGGCGCUCAAUGCUGAGUUCUGCCGUCCGCCUCCCUAGCCCUUUUCUCUAUCUCUAUUUCUUUAUCUCCCGUUCAAUGACUACAAACUCAUGCUUCUCUCUCCCCCUCCCUCCCUCCAUCACUCUCUCGAUCUGUUCUAUCUUCUUCGCUUAUGAUCUUUUAUUCUGUGUGUGCUGUCUGCGCCCGUGUCUCUGCGCUCGUGCGCAGCUGUGUGAAAGUUGGCGGUUGCGGUGGCGAUGCUGGACCUCACUCAUCUUUCAUUUUCGCCGUCGUGCGGGUUUCUUUCGGCUUUUCUUCGUGUCUGCUCGUCUUCGUUGUUCGUGUCGUGCGCUCUCUUCGUCGCCGUGAUGGCCGUCGUUGUUUUGUGCAGUGGUGGGUCUUGACUAGGAAAAGUGACGCUGACGUGGAUGAGGGUUAUCGUUGAUGCACUGACUUGUGGCGUUGGUGUCGAUUAAAGCAGCUUUUUUUUUAUCGAAGGAAACGCAAAGGGCUGUAACGCAUAUGUGUCUUGAGUGUGUUGUCUGCUACGCCACUUACGUACGGCACCCUUCUGGCGUUCACUUGUGCGCGAGUCUGCGCGUGUCCUUCUGCGAGGCAACGUGCAUGCGGAUAGGGGUGCAUCAGCGCCACCUGCACACCGCUGCUAUUUCCAGUGGCGUGGCAGCACCGAGUCCGUAGCGCCUGCCGUUUUUUUUUCUUCCUUUUUUCCUCUAUCUUGGGUUUCACGGACGCAGGGGAGAACGCUGCCGCCUCAGUCCUUCCUCCCCUUGGUCUCAGCCACUAGUGAGCGCAGUUGUCAUGGAUCCAGUGCGCCAUGAUGGCCGCCUCUCUGUUUCUCGUACUUCUCGACACAUUGCCUUUCCCCUGGAUGACGGGGGGACACCUCAGCGCGUGGCGUCAGGGGUCAGCGCCUCACUCUCUGCGGGUGACCCAGGCAGACCCUAACCCUUGCCAGACGCCGAACCGCUUCUGGUGGUGACAGGGUCAGGUGCCUGCGGCGUGGGGAGGCCAGAGCGAUGUAUCGCAACUGAUGUCGGCGCUCAGGUCCUGGAUGGCGUGGCGUCGGAGCGACCUGCGACAGUGCACAGGCUUGUGCCAUCCAUGCGUUGUGCAGAGUGUCUGCGUGACUCAGGCGUGUAUCUCACCCCCGGCCCUCGCAAAUGCUUACUGGUGUGGGGAUCCUGCGCCACCCUAAGAGAGAUGCCCCACGUGGCAACCGGCUCGACGGGGGGGGCGGCUGCGAGGCGGAGGUCGGGCCGAGCUCGACGCAGAGGCCGUACUCCGAUGACUGAGUCGGCGCAUUGCUGUACCGCGCGUGUCCACGGCUGCGUCGCAGCACGCGAUGUGGCCUGUGGCAGGCCGUAUAGAGUGGUGCUCUACUCCCUGCUGUACGGCAGAGAAUGGGCUCGCUGAAACGAACACAACAG